rnacentral:rRNA from 1 species
UACGAGGGGUCCAAGCGUUGCUCGGAAUCAUUGGGCGUAAAGCGGGUGUAGGUGGCUUUGUAAGUCAGGAGUGAAAGCCCUGGGCUCAACCCAGGAAGUGCUUUUGAUACUGCGAAGCUUGAGUGUGGGAGAGGAUCGUGGAAUUCCAGGUGUAGUGGUGAAAUACGUAGAUAUCUGGAGGAACACCGGUGGCGAAGGCGGCAUCCUGGACUGGUCCUGACACUCAGGAGCGAAAGCGUGGGGAGCGAGUCCGGAUUGAG